rnacentral:rRNA from 1 species
UACGAAGGGGGCAAGCGUUGUUCGGAAUUACUGGGCGUAAAGGGCGCGUAGGCGGCUUAUCAAGUCGGGUGUGAAAUCCCAUGGCUCAACCAUGGAAGUGCACUCAAAACUGCAGGGCUAGAGUCCUGGAGGGGAAGGUGGAAUGCUUGGUGUAGAGGUGAAAUUCGUAGAUAUCAAGCGGAACACCGGUGGCGAAGGCGGCCUUCUGGACAGUGACUGACGCUGAGACGCGAAAGCGUGGGGAGCAAACAGG